UACAGAGGGUGCGAGCGUUUGUCCGGAAUCACUGGGCGUAAAGGGCGCGUAGGCGGUCCGCUAAGUGUGUGGUGAAAGCUCGGGGCUCAACCCCGAGUCGGCCGUGCAAACUGGGGGACUGGAGCAUGUCAGAGGCAGGCGGAAUUCCGGGUGUAGCGGUGGAAUGCGUAGAGAUGCGGAGGAACACCAGUGGCGAAGGCGGCUCACUGGCCCGGUACUGACGCUGAGGCGCGGAAACGUGGGG
rnacentral:rRNA from 1 species